UUCUAAGCUCUAGCAGGCAGAUCCAUUUUCUGCCACCGAAUACAUUAGCAUGGGAUAAUGGAAUAGGACCCUGUCCUCCUAUUUUCAGUUGGUUUUGGCAGCGCGAGGACUAGGGUAAUGAUUAAUAGGGAUAGUUGGGGGCAUUAAUAUUUAAUUGUCAGAGGUGAAAUUCUUGGAUUUAUGAAAGAUUAACUUCUGCGAAAGCAUCUGCCAAGGAUGUUUUCAUUAAUCAAGAACGAAAGUUAGGGGAUCGAAGACGAUCAGAUACCGUCGUAGUCUUAACCAUAAACGAUGCCGACCAGCGAUUAGGAGACGUUGAAUACAAAACACCACCAUCGGUGCGGUCGUCCUUGGCGUCGGUUUCGGCCGGCGCGGGGGCGGCUUAGCCCGGUGGCACCGGUGAAUGACUCCCCUAGCAGCUUGUGAGAA
rnacentral:rRNA from 1 species